GCGGCUCAGCCUGUGGGCGACGGGACGGUUCUCACGGCGCCGAGGAGAAGAGCUGCAGAUGGAGCCCAGCAACCGUCCGUCUGCUGCCAGGAAGCACGGAAUGGUCUCACACCUUUGCACCCUCCCCUGCCCACCUUCUGGGGUGCUGCGAAGUACCUGGAUAUUCAGUGCCGUGCUGCCACUAGCUCUGAUAUCCACGCUGUGCGCUGCAGUGCAGUAUGGAAUGACGGUGGCCAACACAAAGCACCUUCAGUAAAGUACAAUUUAUUAAUCACCAAAGAUCUGGGGGAAGUACCUUUCAAACAGGAGUGUUUGCACGUAGCUCUCCUCUGGGAGAAGCCCGUUUUCUGCAGACUCUUACACCGUUCCUGUCACAGUCUGUACACCAGCAGCCGUCUCGUUUCUCU